UUAAUUAAUAUCAAUCAGAUCCAUGUUCGCAUAUCUAAAAUUCUGUCAUUGUUUGAAUAUAUUUUGCGUUCAAAGUUUGAAAAAGAACACUAUUUCUCUGCUAGAAUUCUAAGUUUUAAUCCGUGUUGCGAGAGUGCAACCAUUUUUGUUGAAAGCCAAUGGUGGAUCCUCAUAGCUGAAAUUCGUGUCUAUUUUAGGAUGCCAGAAAGGGUGAAGUUGA
rnacentral:misc_RNA from 1 species